GACGAACGCUGGCGGCGUGCUUAGCACAUGCAAGUCGAACGGAAAGGCCCUGCUUUUGUGGGGUGCUCGAGUGGCGAACGGGUGAGUAACACGUGAGUAACCUGCCCUUGACUUUGGGAUAACUUCAGGAAACUGGGGCUAAUACCGGAUAGGAGCUCCUGCUGCAUGGUGGGGGUUGGAAAGUUUCGGCGGUUGGGGAUGGACUCGCGGCUUAUCAGCUUGUUGGUGGGGUAGUGGCUUACCAAGGCUUUGACGGGUAGCCGGCCUGAGAGGGUGACCGGCGACAUUGGGACUGAGAUACGGCCCAGACUCCUACGGGAGGCAGCAGUGGGGAAUAUUGCACAAUGGGCGGAAGCCUGAUGCAGCAACGCCGCGUGCGGGAUGACGGCCUUCGGGUUGUAAACCGCUUUCGCCUGUGACGAAGCGUGAGUGACGGUAAUGGGUAAAGAAGCACCGGCUAACUACGUG
rnacentral:rRNA from 1 species